rnacentral:RNase_P_RNA from 1 species
UUGGAGGGGCGGAGAAUCGCUCCCGGCGCAAGCCGGGGGAGGAAAGUCCGAACUCCAUAGGGCGCGGCGCCGCGUAACUCAAGUCCGUACGAUUGAGAUACACGCGGGCGGAAAGUCGUGAGACUUUUCGACGGAAAGUGCCACAGAAAAUAGACAGCCUAAACUGUAGCGGCGCUCUGUGAGCGCCAUCAAGGCUCUCCCGGCAGGGUGCGGAUGGGAUGCGGUCCCAGCGGCCGCCCCCACCGGGAGGGGGAGAGACGGUUACAGACCGCCGCUACGGUCGGUGAUGGUGAAAAGGUGCGGUAAGAGCGCACCGCGUGAAGCGCAAGCGACACGGCACGGAAAACCCCGCCGGGUGCAAGACCAAAUAGGGAAUCCUGGAGUGGCCCGCUCCACUGCCGCGAAAGCGGCUGGAUUCCGGGUAUUGGCCGCUUAGACAAAUGAUUCUCUCCGCCGCAAGGCGAAGACAAAAUUCGGCUUACAGCCCUUCCAAAACC